UACGAAGGGGGCUAGCGUUGCUCGGAAUCACUGGGCGUAAAGCGCACGUAGGCGGACUCUUAAGUCGGUGGUGAAAUCCUGGAGCUCAACUCCAGAACUGCCUUCGAUACUGGGAGUCUCGAGUCCGAGAGAGGUGAGUGGAACUGCGAGUGUAGAGGUGAAAUUCGUAGAUAUUCGCAAGAACACCAGUGGCGAAGGCGGCUCACUGGCUCGGUACUGACGCUGAGGAGCGAAAGCGUGGGGAGCGAACAGG
rnacentral:rRNA from 1 species